rnacentral:rRNA from 1 species
GACGAACGCUGGCGACGCGCUUAACACAUGCAAGUCGAACGGAAAGGCCUGCUUUCCCUUGUGGAUUGCGGGUACUCGAGUGGCGAACGGGUGAGUAACACGUGAGUGAUCUGCCCCCAACUUGGGUAUAAGCCUGGGAAACUGGGUCUAAUUCCCGAUAGGACUGCAGGGUGGUGCCUGUGGUGGAAAACGAUUUUCUAGUGGUUGGGGAUGAGCUCGCGGCCUAUCAGCUUGUUGGUGGGGUAAUGGCCUACCAAGGCGGCGACGGGUAGCCGGCCUGAGAGGGUGGACGGCCACAUUGGGACUGAGAUACGGCCCAGACUCCUACGGGAGGCAGCAGUGGGGAAUAUUGCACAAUGGGCGGAAGCCUGAUGCAGCGACGCCGCGUGGGAGAUGACGGCCUUCGGGUUGUAAACUCCUUUCGACCGCGAGGAAGCCACCUGGUUGGAAGGGUGGUGACGGUAGUGGUAGAAGAAGCACCGGCUAACUACGUG